AUUGAACGCUGGCGGCAUGCCUUACACAUGCAAGUCGAACGGUAACAGGUCUUCGGAUGCUGACGAGUGGCGAACGGGUGAGUAAUACAUCGGAACGUGCCUAGUAGUGGGGGAUAACUACUCGAAAGAGUGGCUAAUACCGCAUGAGAUCUACGGAUGGAAGCAGGGGAUCGCAAGACCUUGUGCUACUAGAGCGGCCGAUGGCAGAUUAGGUAGUUGGUGGGAUAAAAGCUUACCAAGCCGACGAUCUGUAGCUGGUCUGAGAGGACGAUCAGCCACACUGGGACUGAGACACGGCCCAGACUCCUACGGGAGGCAGCAGUGGGGAAUUUUGGACAAUGGGCGAAAGCCUGAUCCAGCAAUGCCGCGUGCAGGAUGAAGGCCUUCGGGUUGUAAACUGCUUUUGUACGGAACGAAAAGCUCUGGGUUAAUACCCUGGGGUCAUGACGGUACCGUAAGAAUAAGCACCGGCUAACUACGUGCCAGCAGCCGCGGUAAAAC
rnacentral:rRNA from 1 species